GCCGCUUUACUCCAGCCCUGAAGUUUCUAAGGGCUUCCGGCCCUUUGACGUUCCAAAUGCCCAUCUGUGAAUAUUAGAGGAAAAGCGCGUGUUUAGAGGCAAAGCUAUUGUUUGUUCGCAUUUCUUUCUUACGGUGAGGUGUUUUUAGAACCUCCGCUCUGCAGAUGCUGCAUGACAGGUUUUUAACUUUGUUCAGCCUCAGUUUUUUCAUCGAUUAAAUGGACCUAAUGUCUACCUCAAAAUUGUGAGCACUAAAUGAGAGUUCGCCUGGUGUGCACGUUGAGAACACAGUGCACGCAUGGCAUUGGGCAAACCUUUGAGAUACUAUGGAUUCAGUACCAGACCACCAAAAUAAAGUGAAUAUCUCCAUAAAGUGAGAAGAUGAAGUUUUUGGUUUCGCAGUGCAUAUGAAAGAUGGAGGAAGACGGUGGAGGAGGUUCAAGAGGCAAGAAGGUUGAGCAUACUCCGGAAGCUGGAAAGGGCAAGAAAAUUGAUUCUUCCCUAGAGCCUCCAGAAAGGAAGGCAGCCCUGCUGACAUCUUGAUAUGAGCUCAGUGAGAGCCAUUUCAGACUUCUAAAUGACUGAAUGGAAAAAGGCCCUUCACUGUUAGAGGAAACUUUGGGAAGAAAUGGUCCUGGAAGCUUAUAUAAUUUAGGAGGCUUUCUUUAAGAAAAGAAUACAAGAUUAUAAAUGUAAAAUUAAUUAUCAAAGCCAUUUAUUUGGAAUAAGAAAAGGACUGACAAGAAAUGACAGAUACUUAAUGACAAAGAGCAGAAACAACAGCAUCCUGAAAAGUAAUAGACUAUUUUUUAUUGUAAAAGUAAACAAAGAAAUUUUAUUUUAUUUAGCUUAAUAUUUAAUCGAAUUUCCUGUUUUCAGACUUCUUUGAUAAUUUUUCCUUUCCAUUUUUGAAAGCAAACUCUUCAGUUUCAUCUUCAUAUGAUAAUGUUUUAGGAAUAUAUUCCAUAGACAGAAUAGAAAAACAAU